rnacentral:lncRNA from 1 species
GAUCAAGUGCCGUCCAUGUUUUGUAUUUAUACAAUUAUUUUGUUGUUUAUAUUGCAUAUUUAUUUGGGUUGAUAUUUUGCACCAUUUAUCCCUAUUUUACAAAAUUUUCCUUUGAUUUUACUGACUGAUAAUUUUCUUUCUCAGCACAGUAGAGUGAUAUGAAUAAUUAUUGCUAGAAACUAAGGGUGCACAUGCCAUUGUCAGAGAAAUUAACAACAUUGUCAUAGGUGAAAUAGCGAUAAACAGAUUAUCAUUUGUCAUCUCAAAUUGAUUGCUUUUCUCACUUUUGCCUUAAAAUCAAUCUUGUUGAAAUGACCAACAAUAGUCAAUAACUUUUGUAUCAGAAAAAAAGCACUGUUGAAUCAUAAAUUUUAAAAUCAGUCACACAAUGUCUGCACUUGUGUGAAAAUUUAUGACAUAAAUAAUGGAAUUGAUACCCUGAAAUUUGUGGUUUAUCCAAUCAAGAUGAACAUUAAAAUUGGAAACACAUCUGGUGAAUUUUACAUUGACAUAUCAUUGUAUGUACAUGUAUUACUAGUCUAUAAAUGUAUUAUGUAAAGCAAGUUUGCAGCAAGUAAUUAAACUUGAAUAAAUGUGUAAUGAGCUGAAAAAUAGUGUAUUGCUUAUGAGUUAGAUAUUAAGUUAUUGAUACAUGCUUGGUCUUCAGUUUUGUGAACUUACACAAUAGCUACACUAGUAAAGAGUACUCAAUCAAUAUGAAAGCAAGACAUUUGAUAGCAAUGCUAAAUUUUUUCUUAUAUCUAGAUAGUUUUGUCAAGUAUUGAAUGUAUUACAGUUUUAUAUAUUUUGAUGUUUACUUAUUUUUUAGUUAUCAUAGAAUUAAAUCGUCUUAUUGGUUUUGAAUUAAAUGAAAAUAUUAUGUCUUUUCAGCAUUGCACAAAUUCAGGGUUGUAGGAACUAAAUCUCAUUAUAUGAAGUAACAUAUUAGCAGGUUAAUAGGAUAAGAAGUUUUUUUUGCGUUAGAAGCAUACUUAUAUGAUAGAUUAAAAUGGCAGUGAUUUAGUUUUUUUAAGUAUAAAUUCUGAACAAGAGGCUGUCACAACGACAGCAAACUGGAUUAAUUAACAUUUAUUUUUGUCCUGGCAAUAUCACAAAAAAAUAACUGAUGAACAGUGAAAGUGAAAAUCGUCAAUAUAAAAUUUGACCUCCAUUUUGUCAUCAGUACCAACAUAUUAAAAUUUGGGAAGCUUUGGUUGAACAGUUCACGAGUAAAUGCACCGACACGACUGAAAAUGCCAUUUUUCAAACUGUUAAGAACCAUAACUCCUGAACAGUAAUAGUCAAAAUCGUCAUUAUUGAACUUGACCUUCAUGUUGUUGUCAGUAAAAACAUUAAAAUUUUUAAAGCUUUGGUUAAACGGUUCAUGAGUAAAUGCACGGACAACAUUUGGUUGCCGCCGGCCCCGACUGCCAGACCUCCGUACAUCUCCAAAUUAAUAAACGACAUUUUUGUCACAAAAAUCCGGUUAAAAACCAAAGUGUUUUAUGAUGUAAAUUGUACGUCAUAGCUAGCAGCUCCAACAGAAAUCUUCAUUUAGAUCACCAUUGUCAUCCAAAAUACAACUGACUGCAAAUUAAAUUGUGAAAUCAAGCAUCUGCACCUAAUGUUUUGUUUUAAUUACAAGUAUUCAUUAUGGGCGGGUAUCAGGAUUUACACUUUAAUGAAUGUGUGGAACAUUGCUAAGUUUUUUAUUUUUUUUAAGCUUUUUGUUUUUUAGGUUUCUAUGGACUUGAAACAGUAGAUUUUCUUAUGUUUGUAAGCUUAAAAUUUUGUUUGAUUUACUGAUUUAGUUUUUUUAAUAUACCUGAAAACAAACAUGACUCAUAUACUUUUCAUGAAUUUUGGUUGUGACAUUGUUAACAUUGAAUGUAUUAGUGCAGCAUAUGAUGAAUACAGGUAAAGCACAAAUCCAAUAAAAUUUAUAUUUUUUCAUCAAUAUCACUUAAGUCAUGUUAGUUGUAUCAAAAUAUUAUUUUGGUAUAAUUUUACUGUUGUGAAUUUUACAAGUUUUAUACUUGAGAUAGUCUGUGAUAUCAAUAUUUAUUAAAAAAAUU